GACGAACGCUGGCGGCGUGCUUAACACAUGCAAGUCGAACGGAAAGGCCCUGCUUUUGUGGGGUGCUCGAGUGGCGAACGGGUGAGUAACACGUGAGUAACCUGCCCUUGACUUUGGGAUAACUUCAGGAAACUGGGGCUAAUACCGGAUAGGAGCUCCUGCUGCAUGGUGGGGGUUGGAAAGUUUCGGCGGUUGGGGAUGGACUCGCGGCUUAUCAGCUUGUUGGUGGGGUAGUGGCUUACCAAGGCUUUGACGGGUAGCCGGCCUGAGAGGGUGACCGGCCACAUUGGGACUGAGAUACGGCCCAGACUCCUACGGGAGGCAGCAGUGGGGAAUAGUGCACAAUGGGCGGAAGCCUGAUGCAGCAACGCCGAGUGCGGGAUGACGGCCUUCGGGUGUAAACCGCUUUCGCCUGUGACGAAGCGUGAGUGACGGUAAUGGGUAAAGAAGCACCGGCUAACUACGUG
rnacentral:rRNA from 1 species